AAGGCCCACGCGUGCCGAAGAAGGAACCCCCUAACGCGCCAAAUCUCCCAAAGAGCGCCAGAAUCCCCCAAAGAGCCCGAGGUACGGAAGCGCGGCGCCGGCGCACCCACCGGGAGAGACUCUCGCCGCCACAGAAGAGACGAAGCCGGAAGGGGCUGCAGCCAUCGAGGAGCGCAAGCCAUGAAGUUUAAGGCGUCCUUCACAGAUGACGGCAUCUCCCUCCUCGAUAAGCGGUUCCUUCCGGCCAUGGACAAGGUGGGCCGCGUCUGCCACGUCUACUUCACCCCCACGCACGCCAUGCUCCUCCACAACCUCCUCGGCUCCACAGGGCCCGACGGCGGCGGGCCGCAGUGCGUCGCGCAGUUCGCCAAGGACCUCCUCUUCCGCGAGUACAACGUGUCGUCGCGCGAUCGUAACCGCGUCGCCUUCACCGUCGACAUUGCGCUGCUCCACCGCGCCCUUCGAAGCGCGCUUGCCGUUCAAGCGCAGUCGUCGGCUGCUGGAGACGCACCCGCGGCUAUUCAGGUGAAGCUCGUCAACAAGCAGACCGCCGGGUCCCGAUCUGCUGCUCCGUUUCUCAUGUUCGAGACCAAGGGUGCUCGCUCCGCUGUCGUGCAGGACGUGCCUAUCUCAAGGCCACUGUCAUCUUCCGAUGUUGGCCGCUUGCAGGCUGCCCUUGACGCCGCCCAAGAGCUCCCUGAGACUCUAGUCCAGGUUCCAGAUCUGCCACAGUUACAGAGUUUGGUUGAUCGUCUAAAAAAUAUUGGCGAUCUGCUGACUGUAGCCAUUACCCAAUACGGUGAUCUCCACCUACAAGUUUCUACUUCUCUUGUUACCGUUGGUUCAGAAUUCAGGAGGCUUCGGAUCCUUGGCGUUCGUGCAAAUGCACCUGUUGGUGAUCAAAAUCUGAGUGCUACCACUCGAAUGGAUAUGGCAGUAGAGAGAGGGGAAGCACUUUCAGUGCAAGUGAAUAUGAAGCACCUAGUUAAGAGCCUACAAUGUAAUUUGGCCAAGCCAGAUUGUACCUUCUAUGGCAUUGCUCCUCAGGGUGCUUGCUUGACGGUGAUAUUUCAGUAUUUCAUUCCAGGAACACGGUUGAUGGACAAAUCCAUUACCUUCUACUGUAGGCUUCCAGUCCUUGACCCUGGCAACGGUUAAAAUUUAAUAUAUUACAUCAUGGUGCUUCUGAUAUCAACAAAUAUGGUUAGCAAGCUAAAGAGAUACUACCCAGUGCCUGCCAAGAUCCCUUCCUCUCCCCUCUCUAAUGUUCUUCAAGAGCGACCAGGAAAGAGCCUGGAGCCCGGCCCGACUCCGGAUCCUUGCCGCCGGCAUUGCCGGUCGGGAAGGAGAUGGAGGAGGUGCUCGGAGCUCCCCUGUAGGUAGUAGCCCCUUAAGGGAUUUCGGCUUGAUGCCGGGGUGUGGCGCUAUGCCGUUAGGGAGUCUGCCGUGGCCGUGGUCGAGCAACGGCGAGCGGCGCUUGGCGGUGGGGAUUCUCGUGGCGGCCGGCGGUCGGUUGCUGCGGAGGUCAUCGCCGGCAACUCCAGAAAUAAGCUCGAAGCUUGUGGUGUCUCUGUUCUGCAAGGGAUCCAGUAGCUUUUCUCCUCGCUGCUGUGGUCACCAUGGCGGUGAUUCUCCGGCGAGAAGGAAGCGGCGGGCUGGAGUUCUCAGAUCGUGAUUGAGCACAUCAGUGGCAGUCAUCGCGGAGGAGCUACGGCGCCUGUAAAUGGCCGCUGGCUUCCUCCUGGCUGCUGCGUCUUCAGGCCGAAGGGCGGCCAACCUUAUUCCUCCCUGCCGAGUGGCUAAAUGGGAGGCAGUUCAUCCUCCGAUCGGUGGCCAUGGACGAGCGCCAUGGCAGUUUCGUCGUCCCAAGUGGUGCCGUACCCGGCGACGGCGAGGAGAUCACCUAGAGGAGGCUGAGGACCCGAUUGCUUUUCUUCAUCCUUGUUCUGGGUACUUUUUGCAAAGUUCAGGGACUUGUUUGUAUUUCCCAGUCUUUAGAGGGUCCUGUUGUACUAUGUGCUAAGCUCACUACUAAUGAAUAAAGUUCUGGGAUCCUUGAUCCUACUUUUAUAAAAAAAAAAAAAGCAAGCUAAAGAGUGUCACUGUGUCCGAGUGAUAUCUGAAUGCAGAAACUACAAUUAAAAACAACCCAUGGCAUUUAAGGUCACAUUUACUAUCUGACUGACCUUUCUACUCCAGCUUCAUCCAAUCUACGGUAAAAGCUUGGUCUAAUUUUACCUCAUUUGACUGCCUGGAAGGCUGAAGUGGAAACAAACAUUGGAUUCCCUGUGUGAUGUUAUGUGCAUUCCAGAAAGUAGGUGUUCUGGAACGGAUUUUAGAGAAAAUGAACAGAGCGACUAUUGCUGUCCUC